AUUGCAGGAUCCUCAGGUGGCUAACAGAUGAGGAAGAUAAAGUAAGAGAUAACGGCCUACCACAAAUCAAAUUCUUGAUUGUUGAAAUGUCUCCGGUCACUGACAUUGACACCACUGGGAUCCAUGCCCUUGAGGAGCUGCACAAGAGCUUGAAAAAGAAAGAUAUAGAGCUUAUUAUUGCAAAUCCCGGGCC